GGGGACCCGCAAGCGGUGGAUGAUGUGGAUUAAUUCGAUGCAACGCGAAAAACCUUACCUACCCUUGACAUGUACGGAAGACCGAAGAGAUUUGGUUGUGCUCGAAAGAGAACCGUAACACAGGUGCUGCAUGGCUGUCGUCAGCUCGUGUCGUGAGAUGUUGGGUUAAGUCCCGCAACGAGCGCAACCCUUGUCAUUAGUUGCUACACUUAGUUGAGCUCUCUAAUGAGACUGCCGGUGACAAACCGGAGGAAGGUGGGGAUGACGUCAAGUCCUCAUGGCCCUUAUGGGUAGGGCUUCACACGUCAUACAAUGGUACAUACAGAGGGCCGCCAACCCGCGAGGGGGAGCUAAUCCCAGAAAGUGUAUCGUAGUCCGGAUCGCAGUCUGCAACUCGACUGCGUGAAGUUGGAAUCGCUAGUAAUCGCGGAUCAGCAUGUCGCGGUGAAUACGUUCCCGGGUCUUGUACACACC
rnacentral:rRNA from 1 species